rnacentral:rRNA from 1 species
GACGAACGCUGGCGGCGUGCUUAACACAUGCAAGUCGAACGGACAGGCCCUGCUUUUGUGGGGUGCUCGAGUGGCGAACGGGUGAGUAACACGUGAGUAACCUGCCCUUGACUUUGGGGUAUCUUCACGGGACUGGGGCUAAUACCGGGUAGGAGCUCCUGCUGCGUGGGGGUGGUUGGAGAGAUUCGGCGGUUGUGUCUGGACUCGCGGCGUAUGAGCUUGUUGGGGGGGUAGUGACUUACCCAGGAUUGGACGGGUAGCCGGCCUGGGAGGGAGACCGGCCACAGUGGCACUGGGGUACGGCCCGGAGGCAUACGGGAGGAAGCGGUGGGGACCAUUGCAAAAAGGGCGGAGGCAGGAUGGAGCAACGCCGCGUGGGGGAUGACGGUUUUCGGGGUGUAAACCGCUUUCGCGUGUGACGAAGCGUGAGUGCGGGUAAUGGGUAAAGAAGCACCGCCAAAUUAGGU